UUAAGCGACUAAGCGUACACGGUGGAUGCCCUGGCAGUCAGAGGCGAUGAAGGACGUGCUAAUCUGCGAAAAGCGUCGGUAAGGUGAUAUGAACCGUUACAGCCGGCGAUGUCCGAAUGGGGAAACCCAGUGCAAUUCGUUGCACUAUCGUUAACUGAAUACAUAGGUUAACGAGGCGAACCGGGGGAACUGAAACAUCUAAGUACCCCGAGGAAAAGAAAUCAACCGAGAUUCCCCCAGUAGCGGCGAGCGAACGGGGAGCAGCCCAGAGUCUGAAUCAGCUUGUGUGUUAGUGGAACGGUCUGGAAAGUCCGACGGUACAGGGUGAUAGUCCCGUACACCAAAAUGCACAGGCUGUGAACUCGAAGAGUAGGGCGGGACACGUGGUAUCCUGUCUGAAUAUGGGGGGACCAUCCUCCAAGGCUAAAUACUCCUGACUGACCGAUAGUGAACCAGUACCGUGAGGGAAAGGCGAAAAGAACCCCGGCGAGGGGAGUGAAAAAGAACCUGAAACCGUGUACGUACAAGCAGUGGGAGCACCUUCGGGUGUGACUGCGUACCUUUUGUAUAAUGGGUCAGCGACUUAUAUUCUGUAGCAAGGUUAACCGUAUAGGGGAGCCGCAGGGAAACCGAGUCUUAACUGGGCGUUAAGUUGCAGGGUAUAGACCCGAAACCCGGUGAUCUAGCCAUGGGCAGGUUGAAGGUUGGGUAACACUAACUGGAGGACCGAACCGACUAAUGUUGAAAAAUUAGCGGAUGACUUGUGGCUGGGGGUGAAAGGCCAAUCAAACCGGGAGAUAGCUGGUUCUCCCCGAAAGCUAUUUAGGUAGCGCCUCGUGAAUUCAUCUUCGGGGGUAGAGCACUGUUUCGGCUAGGGGGUCAUCCCGACUUACCAACCCGAUGCAAACUACGAAUACCGAAGAAUGUUAUCACGGGAGACACACGGCGGGUGCUAACGUCCGUCGUGAAGAGGGAAACAACCCAGACCGCCAGCUAAGGUCCCAAAGUCAUGGUUAAGUGGGAAACGAUGUGGGAAGGCACAGACAGCCAGGAUGUUGGCUUAGAAGCAGCCAUCAUUUAAAGAAAGCGUAAUAGCUCACUGGUCGAGUCGGCCUGCGCGGAAGAUGUAACGGGGCUAAACCAUGCACCGAAGCUGCGGCAGCGACACUAUGUGUUGUUGGGUAGGGGAGCGUUCUGUAAGCCUGCGAAGGUGUGCUGUGAGGCAUGCUGGAGGUAUCAGAAGUGCGAAUGCUGACAUAAGUAACGAUAAAGCGGGUGAAAAGCCCGCUCGCCGGAAGACCAAGGGUUCCUGUCCAACGUUAAUCGGGGCAGGGUGAGUCGACCCCUAAGGCGAGGCCGAAAGGCGUAGUCGAUGGGAAACAGGUUAAUAUUCCUGUACUUGGUGUUACUGCGAAGGGGGGACGGAGAAGGCUAUGUUAGCCGGGCGACGGUUGUCCCGGUUUAAGCAUGUAGGCUGGUUGUCCAGGCAAAUCCGGAUAAUCAAGGCUGAGGUGUGAUGACGAGGCACUACGGUGCUGAAGUAACAAAUGCCCUGCUUCCAGGAAAAGCCUCUAAGCAUCAGGUAACAUUAAAUCGUACCCCAAACCGACACAGGUGGUCAGGUAGAGAAUACCAAGGCGCUUGAGAGAACUCGGGUGAAGGAACUAGGCAAAAUGGUGCCGUAACUUCGGGAGAAGGCACGCUGGUGUGUAGGUGAAGCCCCUGCGGGUGGAGCUGAGACCAGUCGAAGAUACCAGCUGGCUGCAACUGUUUAUUAAAAACACAGCACUGUGCAAACACGAAAGUGGACGUAUACGGUGUGACGCCUGCCCGGUGCCGGAAGGUUAAUUGAUGGGGUUAUCCGUAAGGAGAAGCUCUUGAUCGAAGCCCCGGUAAACGGCGGCCGUAACUAUAACGGUCCUAAGGUAGCGAAAUUCCUUGUCGGGUAAGUUCCGACCUGCACGAAUGGCGUAAUGAUGGCCAGGCUGUCUCCACCCGAGACUCAGUGAAAUUGAACUCGCUGUGAAGAUGCAGUGUACCCGCGGCAAGACGGAAAGACCCCGUGAACCUUUACUAUAGCUUGACACUGAACAUUGAGCCUUGAUGUGUAGGAUAGGUGGGAGGCUUUGAAGCGUGGACGCCAGUCUGCGUGGAGCCAACCUUGAAAUACCACCCUUUAAUGUUUGAUGUUCUAACGUUGGCCCCUGACCGGGGUUGCGGACAGUGUCUGGUGGGUAGUUUGACUGGGGCGGUCUCCUCCCAAAGCGUAACGGAGGAGCACGAAGGUUAGCUAAUCCUGGUCGGACAUCAGGAGGUUAGUGCAAUGGCAUAAGCUAGCUUGACUGCGAGCGUGACGGCGCGAGCAGGUGCGAAAGCAGGUCAUAGUGAUCCGGUGGUUCUGAAUGGAAGGGCCAUCGCUCAACGGAUAAAAGGUACUCCGGGGAUAACAGGCUGAUACCGCCCAAGAGUUCAUAUCGACGGCGGUGUUUGGCACCUCGAUGUCGGCUCAUCACAUCCUGGGGCUGAAGUAGGUCCCAAGGGUAUGGCUGUUCGCCAUUUAAAGUGGUACGCGAGCUGGGUUUAGAACGUCGUGAGACAGUUCGGUCCCUAUCUGCCGUGGGCGCUGGAGAAUUGAGGGGGGCUGCUCCUAGUACGAGAGGACCGGAGUGGACGCAUCACUGGUGUUCGGGUUGUCAUGCCAAUGGCACUGCCCGGUAGCUAAAUGCGGAAGAGAUAAGUGCUGAAAGCAUCUAAGCACGAAACUUGCCCCGAGAUGAGUUCUCCCUGAGACUUUAAGUCUCCUGAAGGAACGUUAAAGACGAUGACGUUGAUAGGCCGGGUGUGUAAGCGCAGCGAUGCGUUGAGCUAACCGGUACUAAUGAACCGUGAGGCUUAACCUU
rnacentral:rRNA from 1 species